rnacentral:rRNA from 1 species
AUUGAACGCUGGCGGCAGGCCUAACACAUGCAAGUCGAACGGUAACAGGAAGCAGCUUGCUGCUUUGCUGACGAGUGGCGGACGGGUGAGUAAUGUCUGGGAAACUUCCUGAUGGAGGGGGAUAACUACUGGAAACGGUAGCUACUACCGCAUAAUGUCGCAAGACCAAAGAGGGGGACCUUCGGGCCUCUUGCCAUCGGAUGUGCCCAGAUGGGAUUAGCUAGUAGGUGGGGUAAAGGCUCACCUAGGCGACGAUCCCUAGCUGGUCUGAGAGGAUGACCAGCCACACUGGAACUGAGACACGGUCCAGACUCCUACGGGAGGCAGCAGUGGGGAAUAUUGCACAAUGGGCGCAAGCCUGAUGCAGCCAUGCCGCGUGUAUGAAGAAGGCCUUCGGGUUGUAAAGUACUUUCAGCGGGGAGGAAGGGAGUAAAGUUAAUACCUUGGCUCAUUGACGUUACCCGCAGAAGAAGCACCGGCUAACUCCGUG